ensembl:lncRNA
UGUGUUUGGACACCCAGCACCCGGUUGUUUGGACACCCCAGCCACCCUGUGUGUUUGGACACCCCAGCCACUCUGUGUGUUUGGACACCCCAGCCACUCUGUGUGUUUGGACACCCCAGCCACUCUGUGUGUUUGGACACCCCAGCCACUCGGUGUGUUUGGACACCCCAGCCCCUCUGUGUUUGGACACCCCAGCCACUCGGUGUGUUUGGACCCCCGCCACUCGGUUGUUUGGACACCCCAGCCACUCGGUGUGUUUGGACACCCGAGCCACUCGGUGUGUUUGGACACCCCAGCACUCGAUGUUUUGGACACCCCAGCCACUCGGUGUGUUGACACCAGCCACUCGGUGUGUUUGAACGGCACACCCAGCCACUCAGCCAGGACUCACGUCUGUGUCUGCUCAGGGGCAUGCUUGUUGUCUCGUAGUUGUCUGGGUGUAUGGGGGCACCACCUCUUCACUUUGGCUGAAGACAGGCAGGGUGGAGAGGGGCCGGAGAUCUCCCUGUUCUUAGACAUGCUCCGCAGCUCCUUGGUCGACUUCUGGAUGGAGCUGUGAUGCCUAACUGGUACUGAGGAGAGAAGAGACGGGCAGAAAAUUAUCAAUCAUAUUUAAAUAAUACAGAAUAGAUCUUAAGUUUAAAGUGGUACUUUGGCAGUCAGAUGUAGUCAUGGAUACCAUUUGUAUGUUUUGUGUCCAGUAUGGAGGAAGUCAGAGGUAGUUUGUUAAUGCAAUGACUGGAAGUCUAUGGGUAUCUGAUAGCAUUCAGUAGGCACCCUAUACUUCCCGUCUUUGUGCUAAACCUAAUUAGCGUUGGCUUGCAAAACUACCUCUAACUAUGAGACACAGAGACAUACAAAUGGUAUCCAUGAGUUCAUCUGACCCUGGGAAGUAGAUAUCUGGACUCAUUGUAUCUCCCUUGUUGUAUCCUUAACAUCGCAGUCAACACGCACACUUAGUGUACUGUACACAUCAUGCAUAAGGUAUAUAUUAUAUAGGAAAUAUUUGUAGACCAACAAGCAUAAAGAGUGUUUCUCUUUGACAGGAGGAACUGUUUUGUUGUUACUAUUGGUUAUUUGGCUGUGUGCUGAGCAUAAUGGGGUUUGUUUGAGAGUGUCUCCCACCCUCUUAUGGCUCAUACCACUCUCUUUUCUCCCCCCUCUCUCUGUUUCUCUCCCCCUUCUCCCGAUCUCUGUCUCUCUCCCUUCCCCCUUCUCUCUCCACCCUCCCUAUCUCUCUCCUCCUCUCUCUCCCCCUUUCCCCCUGUCUCUGUGUCUCUCACACUCUCUGUCUCUGCCUCCCUCACCUCCUCUCUGUCUCUGUAAACAACACUGGUCUGAUAUUUCUCUGCUUCAGGUACAGAACUAUAUAAAUUCUCCUUAACCACAGAUGUAGGGUAAGAUUACUGUAUCUCCCAAUCCUCCCCCAUUAGAGGUGGUGAAUCAAUAUCUGGCCCUGGAUCAGUUAAGGUUGACUUCCAUUCUAACACCUCCCUGCAGCUUUGAGCAGCUCAUUGGAUGACGGGAUGUAAAACACACAGAUGACAGUAUGAAUGGACAUGAGGAUGUCACCAUGGCGAUUUGAAAGCAAAAGGUGAAAGGGCAAAUUAUUUGAAGGGGGAAUCCAAACUAAGAGGAACCAAAACUCUAAAUAAAAAAAACACAGGAGAGAAUUAACACUUACUCUGGUGUUUGCAUGUUUCUUUUAUCCCUAGAAACAAAACAAAAUUAAUGAAUUAAAUACUAAUAUUAAUAGUUAAAAGACAUUCACACAGACGCGAAUGGAGAGCACGUGAUGUUGGAUGGAUGAAUGGUGCGGGCGAAGGAACAAACAGUACUUCAUGGACACACUGAGUGGUGGGUGGAGGGACACAGUCUCUCUCAGCCUGUAAAUGAGGGUUGGAGGAGCAAUAUAAUGGUUGAUUGACCAUCAAUGUCAUAAUGAUUAUGCUAAUAACCAUCAAGAUGAAUAUGGGAAAUCAAAGCUGAGACAGAACAGUGUAACGUAUGGAGAACAUACAUCGACCAUAAGACUGGAUGGUCAUUGACAAGCUGUGCUUCCAGAAUAUUAAACCUCUUGACGUCCAUCUAUAGUGACUAAGUAGCACAACUAAACAUCCCUUAACUGACUGGGCCUGUGACACUGCACUCAGAGUAAUCAGUCUAUCCCUCAGGAUCUGAGAACCCCUACGUGACAACUAGAAAGAAAAGUGUUUGUGUGUGUCUGUUUCUGUCAGAAGUGAAAGCAGCACACUUACACCCCUUCCCGCCGGCAGCACAUGGAGUAACCCAGGACGCUGAAGAGGACCAUGGCCACGGCCGAGGGCACCGCCAACGUGAUGAGGAAGUCGGCAAAGAAGUCCCUGCUCUUCAGAGACUCUGGCGGGGGGUUGUACCCCCCGAUGUCAGGCAGGACCCCCGUCCCUGGGUCUGGACGAUUACUGUGGAUCAUGAUCAUCUUGGUGAUGUCCACCUGGAGAAGACAGAGGUUCAAUCAGCACUUCAUUUACUAUAGAUAUUAGGGUGGUAAAUUCU